rnacentral:miRNA from 1 species
AGUUAGAUUUGAAUUUUAGACAAGCAACUUUUUUCAUUACAUAUACAUGUGUCCCAUGCUAUUUGGGAUAUACUUAUACUAAAAUAUAUAUAUAUAUAUACAUUGUUUAUCUGAAAUUCAAAUUU